AACGACUCUCGGCAACGGAUAUCUCGGCUCUCGCAUCGAUGAAGAACGUAGCGAAAUGCGAUACUUGGUGUGAAUUGCARAAUCCCGUGAACCAUCGAGUCUUUGAACGCAAGUUGCGCCCGAAGCCAUUAGGCCGAGGGCACGUCUGCAUGGGCGUCACGC
rnacentral:rRNA from 1 species